rnacentral:tRNA from 1 species
GCCGGGGUAGCUCAGUGGUAGAGCAGGGGCCUGAAAAGCCCUGUGUCGGAAGUUCGAUUCUUCUCCCCGGCACCA